GGCCUUUUGAGUUUGAUUUAAGGUCUUACCUGCCCAAUGAUAAAUUAAAUGGCCGCAGUAUUCUGACUGUGCAAAGGUAGCAUAAUCGUUAGUUUUUUAAUUGAAAGCUUGUAUGAAAGGUUUGAUGAGAAAAGGACUGUCUCUAUCUAAAAAUUUAGAAAUUUAUUUUUAAGUUAAAAAGCUUAAAUUUUUAUUGAAGACGAGAAGACCCUAUAGAGUUUUAUUUAUUCAUAAAUAGAGGAAAUUUAGUAUUUAAGAUUUUAUUAUUUUUAAAUAAAUUUAGUUGGGGUGAUUGAAAAAUUUAUUAAACUUUUUUUGUAUUUUUACAUUGAUUUAUGAAUUUAUGAUCCUUAUUAAAGAUUAUAAGAUGAAAUUACCUUAGGGAUAACAGCGUAAUUUUUUUUAGAGUUCUUAUCGAAAAAAAAGAUUGCGACCUCGAUGUUGGAUUAAAAUUAAAUUUUUGGUGUAGAAGCUAAAAGAUUGGGUCUGUUCGACCUUUAAAAUUUUACAUGAUCUGAGUUUAAACCGGCGUGA
rnacentral:rRNA from 1 species